rnacentral:rRNA from 1 species
GGACGAACGCUGGCGGUGUGCCUAAUACAUGCAAGUCGAGCGAGACCUUCGGGUCUAGCGGCGGACGGCUGAGUAAUGCAUAGAUAACGUGCCCUUUACUGGGGGAUAACAGAGGGAAACCUCUGCUAAUACCGCAUAAGUGCCAGGUUGCAACACCUGUCAUUAAAGCUCCGGCGGUAAAGGAUCGGUCUGUGUCGGAUUAGCUAGUUGGCGGGGUAAUAGCCCACCAAGGCGAUGAUCCGUAGUUGGUCUGAGAGGAUGACCAGCCAGAGUGGGACUGAGACACGGCCCACACUCCUACGGGAGGCAGCAGUAGGGAAUAUUGCGCAAUGGGCGAAAGCCUGACGCAGCAACACCGCGUGGAGGAUGACGUUUCUAGGAACGUAAACUCCUGUCGGCAGGGAAUAAUUUUGACUGUACCUGCAAAGGAAGGACCGGCUAACUACGUGCCAGCAGCCGCGGUAAUACGUAGGGUCCAAGCGUUGUCCGGAUUUAUUGGGCGUAAAGAGUUCGUAGGUGGUCGCUUAAGUCUGGUGUUAAAGGCCCGUAGCUUAACUCGGGUAUGGCAUUGGAAACUGGGCGGCUGGAGUCCGUCAGAGGUAACUGGAAUUCCCGGUGUAGCGGUGAAAUGCGUAGAUAUCGGGAGGAACACCCGUGGCGAAAGCGAGUUACUGGGACGGUACUGACACUGAGGAACGAAAGCCUGGGGAGCGAAAGGGAUUAGAUACCCCUGUAGUCCAGGCCGUAAACGAUGGAUACUAGGUGUUGGUGGAUUCGACCCCAUCAGUGCCGCAGUUAACGCGAUAAGUAUCCCGCCUGGGGAGUACGACCGCAAGGUUGAAACUCAAAGGAAUUGACGGGGGCCCGCACAAGCGGUGGAACAUGUGGUUUAAUUCGAUGCAACGCGAAGAACCUUACCUGGGCUUGACAUCUGCAGAACCCUCCAGAGAUGGAGGGGUGCCUUCGGGAACUGCAAGACAGGUGGUGCACGGUUGUCGUCAGCUCGUGUCGUGAGAUGUUGGGUUAAGUCCCGCAACGAGCGCAACCCUCGUGGUCUGUUGUUACAGGUCGUAAGAUGCUGAACCCUCAGGCCAGACUGCCGGUGAUAAACCGGAGGAAGGUGGGGAUGACGUCAAAUCAUCACGCCCCUUAUGUCCAGGGCUACACACGUGUUACAAUGGGAUGAGGACAAUGGGAUGCUUGGUAGCGAUACUUGGCAAAUCCCCGAAACCUCCCCUCAGUUCGGAUCGGAGUCUGCAACUCGACUCCGUGAAGUCGGAAUCGCUAGUAAACGCAGAUCAGCACGCUGC